rnacentral:rRNA from 1 species
UACGGGGGGGGCAAGCGUUGUUCGGAAUUACUGGGCGUAAAGGGCUCGUAGGCGGCCAACUAAGUCGGAUGUGAAAUCCCCAGGCUUAACCUGGGAACUGCAUCCGAUACUGGAUGGCUUGAAUCCGGGAGAGGGAUGCAGAAUUCCAGGUGUAGCGGUGAAAUGCGUAGAUAUCUGGAGGAACACCGGUGGCGAAGGCGGCUUCCUGGACACUAACUGACGCUGAGACGCGAAAGCGUGGGGAGCAAACAGG